rnacentral:rRNA from 1 species
GAUGAACGCUGGCGGCGUGCCUAAUACAUGCAAGUCGAACGGGGGUCCUUGUCGUAAGAUGAGGAACACCCAGUGGCGAACGGGUGAGUAACACGUAGACGACCUGCCCUCAAGAGGGGGAUAACGUUCCGAAAGGGAUGCUAAUACCCCAUAAGCUCACAGCAGCUAGACAACUGUGAGAAACGGGAGCAAUCCGCUUGAGGAGGGGUCUGCGGCCCAUCAGGUAGUUGGGUGGUAACGGCGCACCAAGCCGAAGACGGGUAGGGGGCCUGAGAGGGUCGGUCCCCCACACGGGCACUGAGGAGACGGGCCCGACUCCUACGGGAGGCGGCAGUAAGGGAUUAUUGCGCAAUGGGCGAAAGCCAGACGCAGCAACGCCGCGUGCCCGAUGAA